rnacentral:rRNA from 2 species
UUAAGCGACUAAGCGUACACGGUGGAUGCCCUGGCAGUCAGAGGCGAUGAAGGACGUGCUAAUCUGCGAUAAGCGUCGGUAAGGUGAUAUGAACCGUUAUAACCGGCGAUUUCCGAAUGGGGAAACCCAGUGUGAUUCGUCACACUAUCAUUAACUGAAUCCAUAGGUUAAUGAGGCGAACCGGGGGAACUGAAACAUCUAAGUACCCCGAGGAAAAGAAAUCAACCGAGAUUCCCCCAGUAGCGGCGAGCGAACGGGGAGCAGCCCAGAGCCUGAAUCAGUGUGUGUGUUAGUGGAAGCGUCUGGAAAGGCGCGCGAUACAGGGUGACAGCCCCGUACACAAAAAUGCACAUACUGUGAGCUCGAUGAGUAGGGCGGGACACGUGGUAUCCUGUCUGAAUAUGGGGGGACCAUCCUCCAAGGCUAAAUACUCCUGACUGACCGAUAGUGAACCAGUACCGUGAGGGAAAGGCGAAAAGAACCCCGGCGAGGGGAGUGAAAAAGAACCUGAAACCGUGUACGUACAAGCAGUGGGAGCACGCUUAGGCGUGUGACUGCGUACCUUUUGUAUAAUGGGUCAGCGACUUAUAUUCUGUAGCAAGGUUAACCGAAUAGGGGAGCCGAAGGGAAACCGAGUCUUAACUGGGCGUUAAGUUGCAGGGUAUAGACCCGAAACCCGGUGAUCUAGCCAUGGGCAGGUUGAAGGUUGGGUAACACUAACUGGAGGACCGAACCGACUAAUGUUGAAAAAUUAGCGGAUGACUUGUGGCUGGGGGUGAAAGGCCAAUCAAACCGGGAGAUAGCUGGUUCUCCCCGAAAGCUAUUUAGGUAGCGCCUCGUGAAUUCAUCUCCGGGGGUAGAGCACUGUUUCGGCAAGGGGGUCAUCCCGACUUACCAACCCGAUGCAAACUGCGAAUACCGGAGAAUGUUAUCACGGGAGACACACGGCGGGUGCUAACGUCCGUCGUGAAGAGGGAAACAACCCAGACCGCCAGCUAAGGUCCCAAAGUCAUGGUUAAGUGGGAAACGAUGUGGGAAGGCCCAGACAGCCAGGAUGUUGGCUUAGAAGCAGCCAUCAUUUAAAGAAAGCGUAAUAGCUCACUGGUCGAGUCGGCCUGCGCGGAAGAUGUAACGGGGCUAAACCAUGCACCGAAGCUGCGGCAGCGACGCUUAUGCGUUGUUGGGUAGGGGAGCGUUCUGUAAGCCUGUGAAGGUGUGCUGUGAGGGAUGCUGGAGGUAUCAGAAGUGCGAAUGCUGACAUAAGUAACGAUAAAGCGGGUGAAAAGCCCGCUCGCCGGAAGACCAAGGGUUCCUGUCCAACGUUAAUCGGGGCAGGGUGAGUCGACCCCUAAGGCGAGGCCGAAAGGCGUAGUCGAUGGGAAACAGGUUAAUAUUCCUGUACUUGGUGUUACUGCGAAGGGGGGACGGAGAAGGCUAUGUUGGCCGGGCGACGGUUGUCCCGGUUUAAGCGUGUAGGCUGGUUUUCCAGGCAAAUCCGGAAAAUCAAGGCUGAGGCGUGAUGACGAGGCACUACGGUGCUGAAGCAACAAAUGCCCUGCUUCCAGGAAAAGCCUCUAAGCAUCAGGUAACAUCAAAUCGUACCCCAAACCGACACAGGUGGUCAGGUAGAGAAUACCAAGGCGCUUGAGAGAACUCGGGUGAAGGAACUAGGCAAAAUGGUGCCGUAACUUCGGGAGAAGGCACGCUGAUAUGUAGGUGAAGCGACUUGCUCGUGGAGCUGAAAUCAGUCGAAGAUACCAGCUGGCUGCAACUGUUUAUUAAAAACACAGCACUGUGCAAACACGAAAGUGGACGUAUACGGUGUGACGCCUGCCCGGUGCCGGAAGGUUAAUUGAUGGGGUUAGCGGUAACGCGAAGCUCUUGAUCGAAGCCCCGGUAAACGGCGGCCGUAACUAUAACGGUCCUAAGGUAGCGAAAUUCCUUGUCGGGUAAGUUCCGACCUGCACGAAUGGCGUAAUGAUGGCCAGGCUGUCUCCACCCGAGACUCAGUGAAAUUGAACUCGCUGUGAAGAUGCAGUGUACCCGCGGCAAGACGGAAAGACCCCGUGAACCUUUACUAUAGCUUGACACUGAACAUUGAGCCUUGAUGUGUAGGAUAGGUGGGAGGCUUAGAAGUGUGGACGCCAGUCUGCAUGGAGCCGACCUUGAAAUACCACCCUUUAAUGUUUGAUGUUCUAACGUUGACCCGUAAUCCGGGUUGCGGACAGUGUCUGGUGGGUAGUUUGACUGGGGCGGUCUCCUCCUAAAGAGUAACGGAGGAGCACGAAGGUUGGCUAAUCCUGGUCGGACAUCAGGAGGUUAGUGCAAUGGCAUAAGCCAGCUUGACUGCGAGCGUGACGGCGCGAGCAGGUGCGAAAGCAGGUCAUAGUGAUCCGGUGGUUCUGAAUGGAAGGGCCAUCGCUCAACGGAUAAAAGGUACUCCGGGGAUAACAGGCUGAUACCGCCCAAGAGUUCAUAUCGACGGCGGUGUUUGGCACCUCGAUGUCGGCUCAUCACAUCCUGGGGCUGAAGUAGGUCCCAAGGGUAUGGCUGUUCGCCAUUUAAAGUGGUACGCGAGCUGGGUUUAGAACGUCGUGAGACAGUUCGGUCCCUAUCUGCCGUGGGCGCUGGAGAACUGAGGGGGGCUGCUCCUAGUACGAGAGGACCGGAGUGGACGCAUCACUGGUGUUCGGGUUGUCAUGCCAAUGGCACUGCCCGGUAGCUAAAUGCGGAAGAGAUAAGUGCUGAAAGCAUCUAAGCACGAAACUUGCCCCGAGAUGAGUUCUCCCUGACCCUUUAAGGGUCCUGAAGGAACGUUGAAGACGACGACGUUGAUAGGCCGGGUGUGUAAGCGCAGCGAUGCGUUGAGCUAACCGGUACUAAUGAACCGUGAGGCUUAACCUU